CUGAAGAGCAGAUUGAAGAAAGUCUCUACAACCACUGGAGAUGGUGUUGCGAGAGCAUUUCUCAAAGCACAAGCAUCUUUCUUUGGGAGCUACAGAAAUGCCCUGAAAAUUGAACCUGGUGAACCCAUCACUUUUUGUGAAGAAACGUUUGUGUCCCAUCGUUCUGCUGUCAUGAGGCAGUUCCUUCAGAAUGCCAUUCAGCUCCAGCUCUUUAAGCAGUUCAUUGAUGGCCGUCUGGAUCUUCUUAACUCUGGUGAGGGCUUCAGUGAUGUUUUUGAAGAGGAGAUAAAUAUGGGAGAAUAUGCAGGUAGUGACAAAUUGUACCACCAGUGGCUCUCUACAGUAAGG